rnacentral:rRNA from 1 species
GAUGAACGCUGACAGAAUGCUUAACACAUGCAAGUCUUUGGCGAAGCUGUGCUUGCACAGCCUAGCCAAGGCGGACGGGUGAGUAACGCGUAAGGAACUUGCCCUGCAGUCAGGGAUAACAGACGGAAACGACUGAUAAGACCUGGUAAAGUCAGGCGGACUCAUGUCCAGCCUGAUGAAAAGUGAUGCUGCAGGAGAGCCUUGCGUCCUAUUAGCUUGUUGGUGGGGUAACGGCCCGCCAAGGCGAUGAUAGGUAGCCGGCCUGAGAGGGUGGACGGCCACAAGGGGACUGAGAUACGGCCCUUACUCCUACGGGAGGCAGCAGUGGGGAAUAUUGGACAAUGGGGGCAACCCUGAUCCAGCAAUUCUGUGUGCACGAUGAAGGUUUUCGGAUUGUAAAGUGCUUUCAGCAGGGAAGAAAAAAAUGACGGUACCUGCAGAAGAAGCGACGGCUAAAUACGUG